AAGUCUGGUGCCAGCAGCCGCGGUAAUUCCAGCUCCAAUAGCGUAUAUUAAAGUUGUUGCAGUUAAAAAGCUCGUAGUUGGAUUUCUGUUAAUUUUUAUAUAUAAUACUACGGUAUUUAUAUAACAUUAACAUAAUUCGCAUUACUUUAUGUAUGCGAAAUUUUACUUUGAGAAAAUUAGAGUGCUUAAAGCAGGCAAUUGCCUUGAAUACUCCAGCAUGGAAUAAUAUUAAGGAUUUUUAUCCUUCUUAUUGGUUCUAGGAUAAAAAUAAUGAUUAAUAGGGACAGUUGGGGGCAUUUGUAUUUAACAGUCAGAGGUGAAAUUCUUAGAUUUGUUAAAGACAAACUACUGCGAAAGCAUUUGCCAAGGAUGUUUUCAUUAAUCAAGAACGAAAGUUAGGGGAUCGAAGACGAUCAGAUACCGUCGUAGUCUUAACCAUAAACUAUGCCGACUAGAGAUUGGAGGUUGUUCCUUACUC
rnacentral:rRNA from 1 species